rnacentral:rRNA from 1 species
AGUGAACGCUGGCGGCAGGCCUAAUACAUGCAAGUCGAACGGCAGCACGGCAGAGCUUGCUCUGUGGGUGGCGAGUGGCGGACGGGUGAGGAAUACAUGGGAAUCUGCCCAGUCGUGGGGGAUAACGUAGGGAAACUUACGCUAAUACCGCAUGCGCCCUUCGGGGGGAAAGCCGGGGACCUUCGGGCCUGGCGCGAUUGGAUGAGCCCAUGUCGGAUUAGCUAGUUGGCGGGGUAAUGGCCCACCAAGGCGACGAUCCGUAGCUGGUCUGAGAGGAUGAUCAGCCACACUGGAACUGAGACACGGUCCAGACUCCUACGGGAGCAGCAGUAGGAAUAUUGGACAAUGGGCCAAGCCUGAUCCAGCCGUGCCGCGUGAGUGAAGAAGGCCCUCGGGUUGUAAAGCUCUUUCAGCCGGGAAGAAACGCACUCUACUAACAUAGGGUGUGGAUGACGGUACCGGAAGAAGAAGCACGCUAACUACGU